AUGGGAAAGACUAGAGAUCUCUUCAAGAAAAUUAGAGAUACCAAGGGAACAUUUCAUGCAAAGAUGGGCUCAAUAAAGGACAGAAAUGGUAUGGACCUAACAGGAGAAGAUAUUAAGAAGAGGUGGCAAGAAUACACAGAAGAACUGUACAAAAAAGAUCUUCACGACCCAGAUAAUCACGAUGGUGUGAUCACUCAUCUAGAGCCAGACAUCCUGGAAUGUGAAGUCAAGUGGGCCUUAGAAAGCAUCACUACAAACAAAGCUAGUGGAGGUGAUGAAAUUCCAGUUGAGCUAUUUGAAACCCUAAAAGAUGAUGCUGUGAAAAUGCUGCACUCAAUAUGCCAGCAAAUUUGGAAAACUCAGUACUGGCCACAGGACUGGAAAAGGUCAGUUUUCAUUCCAAUUCCAAAGAGAGGCAAUGCCAAAGAAUGCUCAGACUAUCACACAAUUGCACUCAUCUCACAUGCUAGUAAAGUAAUGCACAAAAUUCUCCAAGCCAGGCUUCAGCAAAACAUGAACCGUGAACUUCCAGAUGUUCAAGCUGGUUUUAGAAAAGGCAGAGGAACCAGAGAUCAAAUUGCCAAAAUCUGCCUCAUCAUCAAAAAAGCAAGAGAGUUCCAGAAAAACAUCUACUUCUGCUUUAUUGACUAUGUCAAAGCCUUUGACUGUGUGGAUCACAAUAAACUGUGGAAAAUUCUGAGAGAGAUGGGAAUACCAGACCACCUGACCUGCCUCUUGAGAAAUCUGUAUGCAGGUCAGGAAGCAACAGUUAGAACUGGACAUGGAACAACAGACUGGUUCCAAAUAGGAAAAGGAGUACAUCAAGGCUGUAUAUUGUCACCCUGCUUAUUUAGCUUAUAUGCAGAGUAUAUCAUGAGAAACGCUGGACUGGAAGAAGCGCAAGCUGGAAUCAAGAUUGCUGGGAGAAAUAUCAAUAACCUCAGAUAUGCAGAUGACACCACCCUUAUGGCAGAAAGUGAGGAGGAACUAAAAAGCCUCUUGAUGAAUGUGAAAGAGGAGAGUGAAAAAGCUGGCUUAAAGCUCAACAUUCAGAAAACGAAGACCAUGGCAUCUGGUCUCAUCACUUCAUGGGAAGUAGAUGGGGAAACAGUGCAAACAGUGUCAGACUUUAUUUUUGGGGGCUCCAAAAUCACUGCAGAUGGUGACUGCAGCCAUGAAAUUAAAAGACGCUUACUCCUUGGAAGAAAAGUUAUGACCAACCUAGAUAGCAUAUUCAAAAGCAGAGAUAUUACUUUGCCGACUAAGGUCCAUCUAGUCAAGGCUAUGGUUUUUCCUGUGGUCAUGUAUGGAUGUGAGAGUUGGACUGUGAAGAAGGCUGAGCGCCGAAGAAUUGAUGCGUUUGAACUGUGGUGUUGGAGGAGACUCUUGAGAGUCCCUUGGACUGCAAGAAGAUCCAACCAGUCCAUUCUGGAGGAGAUCAGCCCUGGGAUUUCUUUGGAAGGAAUGAUGCUAAAGCUGAAACUCCAGUACUUUGGCCAUCUCAUGCAAAGAAUUGACUCAUUGGAAAAGACUCUCAUGCUGGGAGGGAUUGGGGGCAGGAGGAGAAGGGGACGACAGAGGAUGAGAUGGCUGGAUGGCAUCACAGACUCGAUGGGCGUGAGUCUGAGUGUACUCUGGGAGUUGGUGAUGGACAGGGAGGCCUGGCGUGCUGAUUCAUGGGGUCGCAAAGAGUCGGACAUGACUGAGUGA
rnacentral:lncRNA from 1 species